GGGAGCCGCUCACGUGACCCUCCCGGAAGUCCCAGACACAGACGCCGGGAACACCUCUCUCCUGUACUCCACGCUACUUAACAGGUUUUCAUUUGAGAUCUCCCUCCCACAACAGAACCAGUCAACUACAGUAGCGGGGUUUCGCUCUGUCGCAUAGGAGACAACCUGCCGUCAGCCAUCACCCGGUGUCUUAGAAAUACCUCGCCCGGUCAGGU